UACGAAGGGGGCUAGCGUUGCUCGGAAUGACUGGGCGUAAAGGGCGCGUAGGCGGCGCAGUUAGUCAGGCGUGAAAUUCCUGGGCUCAACCUGGGGACUGCGCUUGAUACGGCUGUGCUUGAGGAUGGAAGAGGCUCGCGGAAUUCCCAGUGUAGAGGUGAAAAUUCGUAGAUAUUGGGAAGAACACCAACGGCGAAAGCACUCUGCUGGGCCGACACUGACACUGAGAGACGAAAGCUAGGGGAGCGAAUGGG
rnacentral:rRNA from 1 species